UAAUACAGAGGUCUCAAGCGUUGUUCGGAAUCACUGGGCGUAAAGGGUGCGUAGGUUGCGUGGUAAGUCAGAUGUGAAAGCCUGGGGCUCAACCUCAGAAUUGCAUCCGAUACUGCCGUGCUAGAGUACUGAAGAGGUGACUAGAAUUCUAGGUGUAGCAGUGAAAUGCGUAGAUAUCUAGAGGAAUACCAAAGGCGUAGGCAGGUCACUGGGCAGUUACUGACACUGAGGCACGAAGGCCAGGGGAGCAAACGGGAUUAGAUACCCCGGUAGUCCUGGCAGUAAACGGUGCACACUUGGUGUGGGAGGAUUCGACCCCUUCCGUGCCGGAGCUAACGCGUUAAGUGUGCCGCCUGGGAAGUACGGUCGCAAGAUUAAAACUCAAAGAAAUUGACGGGGACCCGCACAAGCGGUGGAGUAUGUGGCUUAAUUCGAUGCAACGCGAAGAACCUUACCUGGUCUCGACAUGCUUUGUGUCUUCUGUGAAAGCAGAAUACGGUAGC
rnacentral:rRNA from 1 species